rnacentral:rRNA from 1 species
CAUAUCAAUAAGCGGAGGAAAAGAAACUAACAAGGAUUCCCCUAGUAAUGGCGAAUGAAGCGGGAAUAGCUCAAAUUUGAAAUCUGCGUCGCCUGCGACGCCGAAUUGUAGUUUCGAGAAGCACUUUCUAGGCGAGUCCCGCUCCGUCCAAGUUGCUUGGAACGGCACGUCACAGAGGGUGAGAACCCCGUUUGUGGCGGAGUGGUUCGCUGACGAUGUGUUUUCGAAGAGUCGGGUUGUUCGGGAAUGCAGCCCAAAAUGGGUGGUAAACUCCAUCUAAAGCUAAAUAUUGGCACGAGACCGAUAGCGAACAAGUACCGUGAGGGAAAGGUGAAAAGCACUUUGAAAAGAGAGUUAAAAAGUACGUGAAACCGUUGAAAGGGAAACUGAUGGGGCUGGCAAUGCGUCGUGCGAGAUUCAGCCGUUGGGAUUUUCGGGCGGGCGGUUUGCGGAUCCGAAUGGACCGCGGCCGUCUGGUUCGGGCUUCCCGUCGUCGCACUUCUCGCCGGCGCGCGCCAACGUCGAUUGACGCUGGGUCUCAAUGGCACGGGCAAGGUAGGCUCCUUCUCUCGGGAAGGAGCUGUUACAGGCCCGAGCGUCAUGGCCCGGCGACGAUCGAGGAGUUUGCGGCGCGAGCCUUUUUGGCUAGGGUCCCGUCUCUCCGGCCGGCGGUCGAAUGCGGUGGACUGCGUGCAGUGCGCCGCGACUGUCGUCGGUCGCAGGGGCGGUGACUUCGUACUUCGCGCCAAGGACGUUGGCGGUCAGACGGCCUCAUUUGACCCGUCUUGAAACACGGACCAAGGAGUCUAACAUGUGCGCGAGUCCUCGAGUGAUCGAAACUCGCCGGCGUAAUGAAAGUGAAGGUGGCUUGUCCGCCGAGGUGAGAGCCCGCUCUCGGGCGGGUGCAUCAUCGACCGACCUGUCCUGCUCUCAGGAAGGUU